AAGGAUGCAAUGGAGAACAUUUACAGAGGACUGUGGGUAAAGCAAAGUCUUCAAGGGAAGAUAACAAAGGAUGAAACAAUGGUGUUGUGUGACUUCCUAGUAAAAUCUACUGGUGGAGUCACUCCAUUAUUCUUAUCUGUGGAGAUCUAGAUCUUGAUUUGAAAGUUUCUGAGAAAAUCUUCAGCUCAGACUUGAGGGUCAACUUUACCAGCUGAAGGAUCUGCAUUUACUGCUCAACCACAUCUAAUUUGAUGUCCUCUGCAGAUUUAAAAUGUGUGCCUUCUUUUCCGUCACCAAGUCAUCCCUGGGUUACUACUGAACAUCCUUCUCAAUUCCCCCCGACCCAUGGAUGGCUGUUCUCCAUUGUCUGUUUCACCAGAUGUCCUCAAAACAAACAGACAGAAGAAGGAAGUGGCUAAUGGAAGUUGAAGAUUUGUCCAGGAGCAGAUAGCUGAAGAGAGAGAGAGAGAAGAGAGAACGGCUUACAGCUCAGGUCCUCUCUCCAUGCUUAGGAACCACUACAAAUGCUACUGCCUUGAGUCUCAUUUUGUUUCCCUCUGGAAACCACAUGUGUACCUUGUUUGCAACAGUAUGGUUCUGGAGACCAGAAGGCCAAAAUCAAAAGUAUGGGCAGGCUUGAUUUCUUUAGAAGACUCCAGCGGAGAACUGUGUCUCCUUGCUUCUGAUUCUACAUCUCCAUCCAUGGGCCACUGUUUCAGCAACCUCAGCCAGUGCAACACAACCUCAGCCAAGAAGAGUAUGCAGAGAAAGGAGUCCCCUACCUGCCACAAAACUGUUGUCUGAAAACUGUCUCA
rnacentral:lncRNA from 1 species